rnacentral:rRNA from 1 species
GGGUCAGUAGGUUGGUCGUGCCACCGGUACGUACUGGUCUCACUGAUUCCUCCCUCCUGAAGAACCGUAAUGCCAUUAAUUUGGUGUUGCGGGGAAACAGGACUGUUACUUUGAAAAAAUUAGAGUGUUUAACGCAAGCUAACGCUUGAAUACAUUAGCAUGGAAUAAUGAAAUAGGACGAUCGAUCCUAUUUUGUUGGUUUCUAGGAUUGACGUA